ACUCAAAUGAAUAGACGGGGGCCCGCACAAGCAGUGGAGUAUGUGGUUUAAUUCGAUGCAACGCGAAGAACCUUACCUAGGCUUGAAAAGCCGUCUAAACCUGUGAAAGCAGGGUACCCGCAAGGGGGGCGGUACAGGUGCUGCAUGGCUGUCGUCAGCUCGUGCCGUGAGGUGUUUGGUUAAGUCCAGCAACGAGCGCAACCCUUAGAAUUAGUUGCCAGCGAGUAAUGUCGGGAACUCUAAUUCGACUGCCUACGCAAGUAGUGAGGAAGGUGGGGACGACGUCAAGUCAUCAUGGCCCUUACGCCUAGGGCUACACACGUACUACAAUGGCAACUACAAUGGGCAGCAAUACCGCGAGGUGGAGCGAAUCCUAUAAAAGUUGUCUCAGUUCAGAUCGGAGUCUGCAACCCGACUCCGUGAAGGUGGAAUUGCUAGUAAUCGUGGAUCAGCACGCCACGGUGAAUACGUUCCCGGGCCUUGUACACACCGCCCGU
rnacentral:rRNA from 1 species